rnacentral:rRNA from 1 species
UUGGAGGGCAAGUCUGGUGCCAGCAGCCGCGGUAAUUCCAGCUCCAAUAGCGUAUAUUAAAGUUGUUGCAGUUAAAAAGCUCGUAGUUGAAUUUCGGGGUCAGUAGGCUGGUCGUGCCACGGGUAUGUACUGGUCUCACUGAUUCCUCCUUCCUGAUGAACCGUAAUGCCAUUAAUUUGGUGUUGCGGGGAAACUGGACUGUUACUUUGAAAAAAUUAGAGUGUUUAAAGCAGGCUAACGCUUGAAUACAUUAGCAUGGAAUAAUGAAAUAGGACGUUCGAUCCUAUUUUGUUGGUUUCUAGGAUUGACGUAAUGAUUAGUAGGGAUAGUUGGGGGCAUUAGUAUUCAAUUGUCAGAGGUGAAAUUCUUGGAUUUAUUGAAGACUAACUACUGCGAAAGCAUUUGCCAAGGAUGUUUUCAUUAAUCAAGAACGAAAGUUAGGGGAUCGAAGACGAUCAGAUACCGUCGUAGUCUUAACCAUAAACUAUGCCGACUAGGGAUCGGAUGAUGUUAAUUUUUUAAUGACUCAUUCGGCGCCUUACGGGAAA